UCGACGCCGACUCCUCCACCAUCUCCGUCACCGUCAAGGACGGCGGCCUGAAGCUCAUCCAGGUCUCCGGCGGCGGCCACGGCAUCCGAGUACGCUCGCCCGCCCGCUUCCUAAAUAAACCCUAAACCCGGAACCCUUAGUGCUGCCGCGGGAGCCUACCAGCGCAAAAAUCCUUCAGAUGCGAGUUGUUAGUCAUGAUUUCUGUUGAUUGCGAGCUGCUAAUCCUUAGUGCGUACAUGAUCCGUUGAGUUAAAGACCAAACACACAGGACCUGGAGGAGUUGAUCUACGAGACCAAAAGGUCCAGACCUUGUGUGUUUGGUCUCCGUUCCCUUGAGUCAAUCACCAUGAUUUUACAUCAAGAUGAUGUUUCUUCUUUAACAGGGGAUGAUGAACAACAUGGUAACAAGGAGGAACUUUAACCAGCCUGUUAUAGACUAAGCACUGAAAGCAUGUUUGCAUUUACAUUAUCUCGGUCAUUCUGUUACAGGGCAGUGCAUUCGUUAUUUGUAUGAUGCUUAUUGUUUAUUAAAACAUCUGUUCCAAGGAAUAGAUUCUGAUCUUUUUAGACUAUGCUUUUUUUAAUGAAAAGUGGAAUUACUUGUAAUGAUAACCUUUAUAAGGUGGACUUUUAUGGACGUUGGAAGUUUUAUAAUAAUGGUUGUUGUACAUAUGUUAUCAUCAUACGAGAGAUAAUAUAUUCUUUUGAUCCUCACAAACUGUUGUUGCAGAUGGAGCUCAUUUUGGCUGAGUUUUCUACCGAGUUGCCACAUUUGAGGGCAUGCAAUUGAAGAAUACACCACUUUUUUCCAACGAUACUAGAGUAAUCAUAUCUAAUGAAAGAGAGAUGUAUUUUAUUUUUGUUGGAGAUAUUCUGCAUCUUAAUUUUAUGGACAGUAACAUUUUAGACAAUAAUUUGAUGUCCUAACCAUCAAGAUCAACUUCGGCAUGUAUGGUCUCUAGAAGUUACUAUUGACCAUCAUUGGUGCAUCUUGAUAUACACCUAGAAGUGUGUGGGCGUGAUUUACAACUCACUAACAGAGCUGCUCAGGCUCGCGACCGAGAUGAACGUCCUCGGCGAUGGUGGUGCCGCGUGUGAGAUCCUCCUCCCUAACAAGGCCGUUGCUGCAUCAUCUACUCUCUGCCAUUGGAUCCCCUCCUCUCCGACAAGGCCACCAUCGGAUCCCCUCUUCUCCGACAAGGCCAUGGUGAGCACCCCUCCGGCCGAGUCCGCCUCGGCUCCGGUCUCGGCGCUCGCAGCUCUGGUCGUACAAGUGCCUAAUAUAACCUCCCUUGUCUCCCUUCGCGGAUCAUCUCCAAGAAGAACCGCCUGAGAUCUACAUGUACCUCUUCGAGGCACAUCCAAGGAAGGAAGGAGAUUGAGGUCGCCGUCUCUUGAAGCAUGCUCGACGUCGAGAGAGGGAAGGGCAACCUGCAAGUUGUGUCUCCCCUUGGCAUUCCAACAUAUAUGGGAUAGUAAUUUACAAUGGAAAGGGCCAGUUUAAUUCUGCUUAUGUUUGGAGGCGGCAAUGGCAAGAGCAUAUUGUGCAGAGGGAGAGGAUGAGAAGAAACUAGUGGUUCUCAUCCAAUCUUCGUGGAACUCUCUUUAUGUGCGAUUGUGCACUUGUUGGGUCUUUUUUUGUGCGCUUGCACCUGCAUAAGUAUUCUGUUGUGCACAUGUAAAAUUAUUUUGAUGUGCCCUUGUUAGGCGUUGAACCUUAA